GCCUGGGUGGCUCAGUCGGUUGAGCGUCUGCCUUCAGCUCAGGUCAUGAUCUCACAGUCUGUGGGUUCGAGUCCCAUGUCAGGCU
rnacentral:tRNA from 1 species